rnacentral:tRNA from 1 species
GCCGCCGUGGCGAAAUGCAGACGCAGAGGAUUCAAAAUCCUCCGGAGGCAACUCCAUGUCGGUUCGAAUCCGACCGGCGGCACCA